rnacentral:rRNA from 1 species
AGAGUUUGAUCCUGGCUCAGAACGAACGGUGGCGGUGUGCUUACUACAUGCAAGUCGAGCGGACUCUAGUUUCGGCUAGAGUUAGCGGCGAACGGGUGAGUAAUGUAUAGAUAACCUGCCUUCAGGCGGGGGAUAACAGUUCGAAAGGGCUGCUAAUACCGCAUAAUGUCAGAUGAGCGCAUGUUUGUCUGAUGAAAGGGGGGGACGUUUUCGGACGCCUCUCACCUGGAGAUGGAUCUAUAUCCUAUUAGUUAGUUGGUGGGGUAAAAGCCUACCAAGGCGAUGAUGGGUAGCCGGCCUGAGAGGGUGUUCGGCCACAUGGGCACUGAGACACGGGCCCGACUCCUACGGGAGGCAGCAGUAGGGAAUCUUGGGCAAUGGGCGAAAGCCUGACCCACCGACACCGCGUGGAGGAUGAAAGCUUUCGAGUUGUAAACUCCUAACACAUAGCAGGAAAGUAUCGGAUGCUAAUACCAUCUGGUAAUUGACUUAACUAUGAGAUGAAGUCAUGGCUAACUCUGUGCCAGCAGCCGCGGCAAUACAGAGAUGGCGACCGUUGUUCGGAAUUACUGGGCUUAAAGAGCACGUAGGCGGAUUAUUAAGUCAGCUGUGAAAUACCUGGGUUCAUCCGAGGACAGUCAUCUGAAACUAAUAGUCUUGAGGCCGGUAAGGGAGAGUGGAAUUCCUGGUGGAGCGGUGAAAUGCGUUGAUAUCAGGAGGAACGUCGGAGGCGAAGGCGACUCUCUAGGCCGGAUCUGACGCUGAGGUGCGCAAGCUAGGGGAGCAAACGGGAUUAGAUACCCCGGUAGUCCUAGCCGUAAACGAUGGGCACUAAGUAGGGGAGCAAUUCCCUGCCGGAGCAAAAGCAUUAAGUGCCCCGCCUGGGGAGUAUGGUCGCAAGGCUGAAACUCAAAGGAAUUGACGGGGGCUCGCACAAGCGGUGGAGCAUGUGGUUUAAUUCGAAACAACGCGAAGAACCUUACCUGGGCUUGACAUUCUAGGAUUAGCUUUCUGAAAGGGAAGUGACGCCUCGCAAGAGGUGGAACUAGAACAGGUGUUGCAUGGCUGUCGUCAGCUCGUGCCGUGAGGUGUUGGGUUAAGUCCCCUAACGAGCGAAACCUUUGUCCCUAGUUACCAGCGGGUUAUGCCGGGGACUCUAGGGAGACUGCAGGCGUUAAGCCUGAGGAAGGUGGAGACGACGUCAAGUCAUCAUGGCCCUUAUGUCCAGGGCUACACACGUGCUACAAUGGUAGGUACAAAGGGCUGCGAAGUCGUAAGGCGGAGCAAAUCUCAAAAAACCUAUCUCAGUUCGGAUUGAGGGCUGAAAUUCGCCCUCAUGAAGCUGGAAUCGCUAGUAAUCGUGGGUCAGCUACACCACGGUGAAUGUGUUCCCGAGCCUUGUACACACCGCCCGUCAAGCCACCGAAGCAGGGGUAGCCUGAAGUCACUGACCCAACCUUUUUCGGAAGGAGGGAGGUGCCCAAGGAAGCUCUUGUGACGGGGACUAAGUCGUAACAAGGU